CUACGGGGCGCAGCAGCCGAGAAUAUUCCGCAAUGGACGAAAGUCUGACGGAGCGACGCCGCGUGGUGGAUGAAGUCUUUCGAGACGUAAACACCUUUUAUGGAGGAGGAAAUUUUGACGUUACUCCAUGAAUAAGGGGCUCCUAACUCUGUGCCAGCAGGAGCGGUAAUACAGAGGCCCCAAGCGUUACCCGGAAUCACUGGGCGUAAAGGAUGCGUAGGUGGUUAUGUUAGUCCUUAGUGAAAUGCUGCGGCUCAACCGCAGAACUGUCUAAGGAAACGGCAUAACUAGAGGAUGUAAGAGGUAUGCGGAACUCAUGGUGUAGGGGUAAAAUCCGUUGAUAUCAUGGGGAACACCAUAUGCGAAGGCAGCAUACUGGGACACUCCUGACACUGAGGCAUGAAAGCGUAGGUAGCGAAUGGGAUUAGAUACCCUGGUAGUC
rnacentral:rRNA from 1 species